UAUGAAUGCAGUGUGUGUAUAUAAUGCAGAGUGUGUGUGUAUAUAAUGCACACACUUUGCAUUAUAUACACACACUGCAUUAUA